AAUUAAUUGACAGAAAACACCAAACGGAAGCGUUUCAACAAAAACAAAUCAAUGAUGGUUUCCAAUUGAAUCAUUUAAUUGUUGAUACACCAAUCAAGAAAUCGUAAUCAUCGUAACCAGUAAUCAAUCCUAAAUAGAUAUAGAUUAAUUGUAAUUGGCCUAAAUUCAGUUUACACGUCCGGAAGAUAUUAUUAAAUUGGGCAAACAUAUAAAUUUAUAAGUAGUUAAGGAUGAUCUUAUAUGUUCUGAUAUAAGAUUUUCGCAUUCAUGUCGAAUCAUGAAGAAUUUGCUUCAAUUCAUUUCCCUAUUUGGAAAAUAUCGAACAUUCAACAACUAAUGUUAAUCUUCUGAUGGAAAAUUAUUUUCAAGCUUAUGGUAUAAUCACAACAAAUUGAAACGUCUUGAUAAUCGUAUCGAUUUAUCAAUAGAUUUGUCCCAUGUUCUGAAUUUCGCCGAUUCCAUGACUAAUCUUAAACUACUCUUCAUCAAUACUUUGUACCAAAUUAGAGAGCAUACUAAGUUUUUUAAUUCAUCUUUGGAUGUCUGUUCAGUUCGGUAAUUUUUUUAUCCUUUUUAGAUCCUAUUUCCAACUAUUAUAUAAUAUAAUGGACCAAUUUUUAAGAAGCUCUGUAUCUUUAAUGGUAGUAGGUUGUGUUAUUAUAUCACUCGAAUUCUAGACUUUUGUCCAAAUUUACGAAAUCUCACUCCGAUUCUUCCUAAGUGGACCUAAAUAAUCCAAAUAAAUAGUGACAUUAAAAACCACAAUUUACAAGGAUUAUUUAUCAGUCUUGAUCAUUCGUAUGGAUACGAUAUAAUUCAAAUUGUGGAAAAAUUUUCUAAUGUUCGAUAUCUUAGAAUCGAUGGAACCUUAACGGAAUCACAAUUAACUAAAAUUAUCAGACUACUUCUUCAUUUAUCAGUAUUGGUGGUUGAUGAUGGACUCCACGGCCACUCGCUAACUAUUGACAGUGUUGAUCGAAUCAAAACAUUUUGUCGAUCAAAAAAUGUAAACAU